UACGGGGGGAGCAAGCAUUAUUCAUAUUAAUUGGGCGUAAAGAGUUUGUAGGUGGUUUAAGAAGUUGAAAAAAACAUCCAAAAGUUAACUUUUGUUAUUUUUUCAAUACUAACAAACUAGAGUAUAUGAUAGAGGAUAAUGGAAUUUUUUGAGGAGGGAUAAAAUCUUUUGAUUUAAAAAGGAAGGCCAAGAGCGAAGGCAAUUAUCUGGGUAUAUACUGACACUGAGAAACGAAAGCUUGGGGAGCCAACGGG
rnacentral:rRNA from 1 species